rnacentral:lncRNA from 1 species
AAUUAAAAUAAGCGGGUUUUUUUUCAAUAAAAAAUAAUAUAUACUUUGCCAUAUAUCUUUAUAGAAUAUAAUUAGUAAAAUACCGAGAAAAAAUUAUCCCUACGACAGGAUUGAAAUUAAUGGAGGCCAUGAAAUUUAUAACGACCUACCUGAUGACGACAAAAUAUUUUUGUCGAAUAUGUCGAUGUAAGUACUCUUACACCCCACAUCCAGAUUCAAACGAUAAUGAAUGUCCUAGUUCCGGAUCAAGAAUAUAAACACAUAUGAACAACACCUGAUUCAUGAUGAUUCUGACAACUCAAACUUUAACACCGACCUAUUAAAAAUGCUUGUUUCAUUUAAUAUACCUUUUUUUCACUUUGAAAUUUAUGUAUAAAUAUCCCAAUAGAACCGUCCCUAAUAGAAGAACUCAACAUAGAAUAAUGAUGGUUGUUAGCGCUGACGUUAUCUCAAAAUUAAAGGGAAAAUUAGAGAUAAGAAUAUUUCCAUAGCUCUUGAUAAGACAAUCAGGAACUGUCAAUGGCAGCUAUAUUAAUGGGUCCUGUGGAUAGCCGUUUCUUGGGUUGUCCUUAUCUAAUCAACAUAGACUUAAGUUUUCAUCAUAGAUGGAGCGUCUUACUAUAAAAAUAUGGGUGAAACCCUGCAAAGAAGCUAUCCCCAAUUGAAAUAUAUUACUUGUGAACUUCCCCGUAAAGAAUUUACAAACACAACGGAAGUUUACUGCUUCUUGCCAAAUUAUCUUACCUCCAGCACUUGUCGUCACACGCAUCGGAACUUGGUUAAAAGCAGUGGACUUCGAAGUAACUUCGAAGUAAUCAGGGAAUAUUUGAACAUCCUUAAUGAGAAAACAUCAUCGGUCGUUAAAGCUAAGGAGAUUAUGAUGGAUAGAGGAAUAAUCAACAAUAAAUGAUAAUAUCAAACCAAUUACCGAGUGCAAUACCGCUUUAGAAAAGAAACUCCUUGUAAGGUUAAUUAUUGUUGACUAUUUACGCAUCGAUAUCAAGUUAGAGCCAUUUAAAACCAAAUUAAAAAACUUUUAAGAUGAAAAUACUGUGUACAACGAUUUACGAGACCUAGCAAAUUCUGAAGAGACAAUUUACAGGAACACACCUUUUUUUAAUUUGUGACUUAAGAGAGGAUUUCAACAUAUGUCCUAGUUCCAGGGGCCAAGAGCCAUUCAUACCAAAAUAAGGUCGUGUUUAUCAGUAAAUAGUGUCAGUGACAUGUUAAUUAUGAUAUAACGGAUUCGUAAGAGCAAGAAAAACUACUUGAAUGGUAUCAAAGGGGGUCUUAGCUUUAAAUGGGGUGCAAGUAGUUUGGCUAACAUAUGUUUCUUCGGGUAAAGACUUGAGAUAAGCAUAUUGCUAAAUGUUCAUAAUCUCCGAGAUAAGGUGUUAGAAAACUAGAGUAAUAUGGUCAAUAACAACUUACUUAAUGGUUUUAAAGAGGGCCUUAGCUUCAAAUGGCGUCCAAGUAGUUUGUCUAACACCAGUUUCUUCUAGUAUAUACAUGGCUUUACAAAUGACUUACAUGACGAAGAAUUUGAACUAUUAUAUGAAAAAAACGG